rnacentral:snoRNA from 1 species
GGCCUCCUGGUGCUUGCCGCAGGCUGUGUAUGUAGAGAGUAUGCAGAGUAAACCCGCCCCACGGACAGCUCAGCCAGGCCUUUUUCCAGGUCUGUAUUGUGACAGGUGGGGUAGGGACAUGG